CCAAGCGGGUUUUCGCUUUCGACUGAAAUCGAAUGGGCUAGACCGGCCGCCUGCGUGGCCGCGACAGCUCGUGUGGGUGCGUCGGUGGGCGCACGCGUGCGUGCGUGCGUGCGUACGUACGUGCAUGCACGCGACACACGCGGUCCCGCGCCGCGAUUCAUUUCGCGAGACACGGCCGAUACGAGCCGCGGGCCGCCUUCUCCGAUAAUGAUAACGCGCGCCGACCACGAAAUGCGAUCGCAGUCUGCAGCUGUUGUAUGUACAUACAUACAACACCUCGCGAAAGCUCUGUCGGGAGACAAGAGACGUCCGUAUGCAAUUUCCGGGAAAUAUCCGUCCGUAAUUAGCUGCGCCAAGUUCUCUCAGCUACAGUCGUCUGAUCGAAAGUUGCAACAUUUUACUUUCGAUGAGCUUUUCGUUACACAUUCAGUAGAUUUUGUUCAAUAAUUCUCAGUGGAUGCGUUCUCUCAUUUCAAUAGGAAUGCGGAAUAUAUUGCAAAACUCAGCGAGGAAAAGUGUUACUACACUUAAUCAGUCGACUGUACUGCAUUCCGAAAUGUACAGGCAAUACCGAAAUUCUGUGGUUUCUACAUUGCAUAUAUUAGAAUCGUGCCGUAGAUUUUGAAAUUGUAUUCACGCAAAGUAUUUACGUGAUGUAUACAUGGUCUUUUUAUAGAUAAUGUAAGCAACGUAGAAUAUUAUAAAUUAUAUUAAAAUUAUAAAAACAGAAAAAUUCACAGAGAAUCCUGCAAAUUUUAAUUUUGUAUUUAGGUAACAAAGUUCAUAAGUUUUUAUCGAGAUUCUACAGAUUCAAUAAAGAUACGAACCUUUGUUAAUUAAUUUUUUAACCUAUACGUUCUUCAAACGAUAUUCACAGAUUACUAGCUGUCUAGAUAAGUGAUAUCUGAUGUAUAUUUUACGUUGUCUAUACGUAGACAGAGUAUUAAUUUAUACGCAACGUUCAAUUCUGACAUAUAUGUGGGUUUUCGAUAUUAUCAUUUUGGAAUGCAACCAAAAAAAAUGCGCUAUCGUUGCUAUUCAUAUAUAUAUCGUUGCUUAUUGAUUAUCGAUUUAAUUAAACAUGAUGAAUAUCAUGAGAUAGCAGAUAAUGUAAGUAAAAGAAUUUCCCCAUUGCUGAUAUUUUACGGUUUUUGACGGAAAAAAAUGUAGGGGAGCAGAAAGGGGAAACGUGGUCUCAGUAUGUAAAUGGAUCAUACACGAGCUCGACUUACAAAACGCGGAUGUGCAGAUGAGACCGCGUUGCGAUUAAGUUACGCACGUGUCACUUAUGAAUGACAAGUGUGACGUGCGCACGUAUCAACAAAAGUCACGUGCAUCGCCGUAACCGCGGCAUCUUGUGUGAUUGAAUAAGCGUAAGGUGAGAACUUCGAGGAAGUUCCAGUUAAAGAGUUUAAUUCGCAGAGGAAAAUUUGAAAAUUAAUAAUGUUAAAGCCACGGGGAAAGAGUCGGGAUUUUACAAAUUUGUAUACGAGAUUGUGUUCUAAGCUAAAAUAAAAAUAAACUGUAAGCUAUAUCACAGAAUUUAUAUCAAGACACGCGUUUGUUAAUUAAAAAAAAUUCACUACUUGUAGUUUAUUACUUUUUUAUAUUCGACACUUACGUAAUAACCGUAACGCUUGUUGCGUAAAAGAAAAAUUCCUCGGAAAACUUGCGUCACUUUCCUCUCAUCGAGAGUAUCUUUGUCUUAAUGUGAAAUUUCUCGCGGGUUUAAGAGCAAAGUGAUCUUUAAAGCCGAUAGAACACAGAGUCAUCGACUACGAAAUAAUCAAUUGUGAAAUGUCAGUCGUUAAUUGGGAACAGGAAGCAACGUGUGGGAAAAACGUUAAUUGAGACGAGCGGACGUAACGUCAUUCAAAUUUUUUUCAGACCAGAUGCCGCAUCGAUACCUGCACGCGAAACGGUGUGAGCGGCGCUUUAGGCAACACUAUAGCUAUCAUCCCGAGCCCGUGGAAGCGAAGGAAUGCCACUCCGCGACCGACUGUGAAAGUGGAGGGGAACACGAAGCAAUCGUGUCCCGCGCGAAAAUACGCUCUCGCUGGGAGUACUCGUCCCGCGACGUACGCUCGACGUUGGAUUUAACAUUGAACCGGUAUCUGAAAUCGGUAAACCUAACACCGAGUCGAAGGUUGAAUUAGUAAAAUGCAAUUAUCGUUCUGACUGUGUCAAGUGGAAAGUGAUUUAAAUACCUGCCUAACUAUGCAACAUCUCAACACGAAAUAAAAUGCACGUCUUGGAUCUAUCAAACUAUGUACAAGUUUAUUCUUAACGCGCGACAUAAAUCUUAUAGUUAUCUUAUAAUACUUGUGUUAUUUGGAGGUACAAGUAACCUAGUAAUAACUUAGCACUAGUAUACAAAUAUCUCAGUACUAAUGUUAUUAUUGGUUAUCUGGUACUCUAGCAGUACUUGUAUAUUUAGUUUCAAUAUAUCUGAACAUUUGUUAUCUUAAUGCAGUUUGGAAUAGAGUUGGCGUUCACUAAAACUUAUCCUUGAAUGAUUUCUAGAAGAAAAAUGCUCUUAUUGUGAACAUAAGCUGUGUUUCAAACUGCAUUAAAGAAAAAGUGUACAAACCAUAUUGAAACAGAGUAUACCACUUAGAGAUACACAAAUAAUCUGUUCUACUCUCUGUUCCAUCAUUUAUCAUAUAAAGUUAAGUGUAAAUUAUCUGUAUAAAUGUUAUGUAUUUUAAUAAAUAUAUUGUUUAAAUGA